rnacentral:rRNA from 1 species
UUUCGAAUCAUUCACAAUGGGCGAAAGCCUGAUAGUGCAACGCCGCGUGGGGGACGAAUGUCUUCGGAUUGUAAACCCCUGUCACCAAGGACUAACUAGCAUUCGUUAAUAACGGGUGCCUUGAAUUAACUUGGAGAGGAAGCAGUGGCUAACUCUGUGCCAGCAGCCGCGGUAAUACAGAGACUGCAAGCGUUAUUCGGAUUCACUGGGCGUAAAGGGUGCGCAGGCGGCCAGAUGUGUCAGGUGUGAAAGCUCGAGGCUCAACCUCGAAACGGCCCCUGAAACUAUUUGGCUAGAGUAUCGGAGAGGGAAGCGGAAUUCAUGGUGUAGCAGUGAAAUGCGUAGAUAUCAUGAGGAACACCAGAGGCGAAGGCGGCUUCCUGGACGAUUACUGACGCUCAGGCACGAAAGCGUGGGUAGCGAAAGGGAUUAGAUACCCCUGUAGUCCACGCCCUAAACUAUGUCAACUAGACGUUGGGUUCUUUAAUGAACUUAGUGUCGAAGCUAACGCGUUAAGUUGACCGCCUGGGGAGUACGGCCGCAAGGUG